AUCCCUGCAAAGAAAGAAAAGAAAGUGGAGUAAAAGUGGUGCGAUUCCAUUUACUUCAGAAUCAUUUCAAAAGUUGAAUGUUUCAAGUUUAAUUUGUGUUUAUCAUAGCAUAUAAUACCUUGUAGAUGGAAUUAUAUGUUUCUCUUGAAAUUGUAUUAAGUGCUUUUUCAUGACGUUAUGUAACAUUCAUAUUCAUCAGAUUAUCAUGUAGAUAUAAUGUAUUGAUUGGACAUUUGAUUUUAUCAAGCAAUAUUAAUCUGCUUUAUUAUACUAUAUUUGAUUCGGUGCAUUUCUAUUUAUAUGAUCAUAUUUACACAUUGGUCAGAGCAGAUUAGCGGAGAAUCAAAAGAAAGGUGUGUAAUUAUUUUCCAGUCAUGUUUCAACAGGGAGUAAAAGCUUAAAUGGGGCCGUUUACUUCUGCACAUUUCGACGUCUGAAUUGAUGAUUGAUACCAUUAAAUUUGAUCUAAGCUGUUUGGACUUUUAGGUUUUGAAUUUUAUAAUUUUUUGACAUCAUUUACCUAGUACUCGAAGUGAUCUGAAAAUUGAUAAUUUUCAAAUAAGAGUAAUUUGAGACUGCUUGAUCGCUAGGUAAAUGAUGUUAUAAAAUCACGAAAUUUGAUUUUUAGUAAGUUAAAGUAAGUUUGAUCAAGUUUUAUGGUGCCGAUCGUCGAUUUGGAUGUCUCAAAUGAUCUAAAAAUUGACAUUUUUCGAUGGUUUAUAUAAGAUUAAUUUGAGAUACUUGAUUACUGUGUAAAUGACAUUAUAAAAUCACGAAAUCUGAUUUUUUUUUUUUUUUAGAAAGCUUAAAUAAGUUAUAUCAAGCUUAGUGGUGUUCGAUCAUUAAUUUUGAUGUCCUAUCAUCAAAAGCAAUGCGAAAGGAAACAAUUCUGUGAACCCCAAUAGGUAAAAGCAUAAUAUGUUCAAAAGGGAGAAAAAA